rnacentral:lncRNA from 1 species
UUCUAUAUAUUAAAAAACGAAUCGAUUGAACAGUAUUCACACAGUAAACUUUACUUUAUAUUUAAGGGUUUUUAUUUACACAUAAAUUAAAACCGUGAGGGAUAAUAGAAAGAGAGGGGGAGGGAGACUGGAUAAACUGUGUCACAGAGGAGAGAGCCGCUCGUCGGCGGCGGCGAAGAGGGACAGAGCGAUCGGAUCAUCGGACAGAAAAACAGAGAGAUGCUCAGAGAUCGGAUGCGGAGACUGGUCGACGGCUUCCCCGCCGGCGACGAUUGUAUUGUAUCUCGAUCUAUGGUAACUUAGUGUGAAGCCAAUAAAAGCCAGCUGGAGAGCACUGAAGGCUUAGAAAAGUGGCAAUAAAAGUUACCUAAUUAAAAUGAGAAUUGUUUUCAAUAAUUGGGGUCAUUCCCUAUAGAUGUAUCAAAAUGAAAAUCGGGUUUUGUCCCACUUAUAAAUGUAUUACCAGAAAAACUUGGGUUUUAUCCCAUUUCUUUAAUUUAAAUAUUUUUGGUGUUUA